AAUAAGUGAAUACAUUUCAUAUAGUGAUGAAGCAAUAUAGACUGGUUCGGUUUCUUAUCUUCCUCUUAUCACUUUUUAUAUGCUUCGUCACAAUCCAUUCUCAAUGCCCACCAACACUACCUGCGCCUCAACCAAUGCCACCACCACCACCUGGCCCACCUUCAAAGCCAUGUCCACCGCAAGGCACAUAUAAAUUCCCACCUGCGCCUCAACCGGUGCCAUCACUAGCACCUUGCACAUGUCCGUGUCCAUCAGACUCAUCUCCAAGACAAGUGCCACCAAAGAACAUAACCGUACCGGCAUUGUUUGUAUUUGGGGAUUCGCUC
rnacentral:lncRNA from 1 species